CUUUUACGAAAGUUGAGCCAAUCUAACCGUAGUUCAAAAAUGUUUCAGGAUCUGACCAUUUUCCUGAAAAAAACUAACAAAGGGGAGCUGGACUUGCGGUGAGAAGGGCUCAAUCGACCACAUACCAUAUUCAUAUGGGAAGUCUUGUGGUUCCAACACGCGUGGCUCCACGCCAAUUCGAUCAACAAAGACAAGCUCCAAAAUGGCGUCGAGCAACGACCACGUCAGAGAACUCGAGGGAGAAGAGGAGACAAAGAGAUGGAUGGAUUUUGAGGAUUUGCAGGAUCGGUGGAUGAAUAGCAUUACUAUGGAUUGAUUUCAUAAAAUGCCAUGAUGCGCUCUGAGGACCAGAAAUUAAAAAAAAAUACCCACUUAAGAGGGUUUUAUGCAAACAUACGACGGCGGGGUUGACGUGGCCACGUUUAGAUUGAUUUGUAUGUAAAUGAAAUAUUAUUAGAGUUGAUGUACCACUCUGAUGGGGUUUUCA
rnacentral:rRNA from 1 species